GACGAACGCUGGCGGCGUGCUUAACACAUGCAAGUCGAACGGAAAGGCCCUGCUUUUGUGGGGUGCUCGAGUGGCGAACGGGUGAGUAACACGGGAGUAACCUGCCCUUGACUUUGGGAUAACUUCAGGAAACUGGGGCUAAUACCGGAUAGGAGCUCCUGCGGCAUGGUGGGGGUUGGAAAGGUUCGGCGGUUGGGUGUGGACUCGCGGUUUAACAGCUUGGUGGUGGGGUAGUGGCUUACCAAGGCUUGGACGGGUAGCCGGCCUGAGAGGGUGACCGGCAAUAUUGGGACUGAGAUACCGCCCAGACUCCGACGGGAGGCAGCAGUGGGGAAUAUUGCACAAUGGGAGGAAGCCUGAUGCAGCAACGCCGCGUGCGGGAUGACGGCCUUCGGGUUGUAACCCGCUUUCGCCUGUGACGAAGCGUGAGUGACGGUAAUGGGUAAAGAAGCACCGGCUAACUACGUG
rnacentral:rRNA from 1 species